AGUGAACGCUGGCGGUAGGCCUAACACAUGCAAGUCGAACGGCAGCACAGUAAGAGCUUGCUCUUACGGGUGGCGAGUGGCGGACGGGUGAGGAAUACAUCGGAAUCUACUUUUUCGUGGGGGAUAACGUAGGGAAACUUACGCUAAUACCGCAUACGACCUACGGGUGAAAGCAGGGGAUCUUCGGACCUUGCGCGAUUGAAUGAGCCGAUGUCGGAUUAGCUAGUUGGCGGGGUAAAGGCCCACCAAGGCGACGAUCCGUAGCUGGUCUGAGAGGAUGAUCAGCCACACUGGAACUGGGACACGGUCCAGACUCCUACGGGAGGGAGCAGUGGGGAAUAUUGGACAAUGGGCGCAAGGCUGAUCCAACCAUACCGGGGGGGCGAAGAAAGCCUUCGGGUUUGUAAGCCCUUUUGUUGGGAAAGAAAAGCAGCAGGUUAAUACCCCGCUGUUCUGACGGUACCCAAAGAAUAAGCACCGGCUAACUUCGUG
rnacentral:rRNA from 1 species